CACGGGGGAGCAAGCGUUGUUCGGAAUCACUGGGCGUAAAGGGCGUGUAGGCGGUCAAGUAAGUGGAAUGUGAAAGCCCCGGCUUACCCGGGGAUCUGCAUCCCAAACUGCUUGGCUUGAGUACGGGAGAGGAUAGGGGAAUUCCUGGUGUAGCGGUGAAAUGCGUAGAUAUCAGGAGGAACACCGGUGGCGAAGGCGCCUAUCGUGGCCCGAAUACUGACGCUGAGGCGCGAAAGCUAGGGGAGCAAACGGG
rnacentral:rRNA from 1 species